rnacentral:tRNA from 1 species
GGGGUUGUAGCUCAGUGGUUGAGCGCUUGCCUCGCAUGCAAGAGGCACUGGAUUUGAUUCUCAGCACCA